UGAUGGAUCCAGAACACCGUCUCUAGUGAAAAUGUGACCAAACCCAAAAGAUUCAUUAAUUUGAGGACUUAUACCUACCACCAGAACAAUGGCCCUCACAAUAAGCUUAGGCUUAUCGCUGCUAUCGUGGCUGAACAAAAAGCUCUCUGAACAAACCGGCUUCUCCUGGGUCACACCCAUGUGAUGGCAGAACCUGUAAAAAGCCCCACCAGCCCCACGGUGCACCUCAUUUCUUGCGGAUGGAUUUCUUGUGUAUCUGGAUGUUUGGAUUACAAAAAAACUACUUUUUUUCUCUCCAUAUUAUUUCCAGUACAGGACACAUAAAGAGACAAAUGGGAUUCCCUAACAUCAACCCAGCCAAAGUGUUGCCUUUGUCACAUCUGGAAGAUUAAACUGAAGUGUAGAAAUGGCCUCAUCCUGGCAAACAAGCAGCACUUGAGGCUACUUGUUAGAUGUCUGUGAGAUUGUUUUGCACUUUGAGGCAAACAAAAAUAUCAUUCGGUUGCACACAGUGUACAAUCUGAUAUCUCUUUAUGAGAUAAGGGCACCUGAGGACAGGUGAGGUGCUAUUUGCUUCCACUGAAUUAGACCUUUUUAUUAUCCUCCAUGAAACUGCUAGUUUAUGGAAAUUGUAAUGAUUGAGCCAGCCAUGUCCCAGCAUCAAAAGAAGCUUAGAAUGAGGUCUUAUGAGGAGACUCUAACAACACAGAGUAUGAUGCACUGUGUCCCCAACUGUACUCAUCACUGCUCCUGUUUCUCCUCUUCCCAGUCCCCCUGGACUCUGCGGUGCAUUCAGUCCAACUCAAAUUCAGAUCCCUCUCAAACUCAGUAGAUAUGCCGCAUGGCCUAGUUUACUCCUUGAACUGACCUUAUCCUCCUAAAAGUUUAUAUUUAUCAUGUCUGCAGUAAAUCCUUUGAGUCCAAAACAAUUUGUAUAUUCUUCAUUCACCUUGAUUGAGAGCUUGUCUGUGAUUGUGGUUUCACUGUGUAAUGUAUAUUUUUCUGCUUAUUCGCUUGAAAUAUCUAGAGAGCGGUGGAUUGAAAUUGGGAAGUCUUAAUUUAAUAUCAGAAGGAGCACUGAUGUGAAUCAAAAUAUUGCUCACAAAUAUUGCAUUAAGAUCAAUGAAUAUUAGGUACUUAACUGCAAUAAAAGAAAAGCUGCAUAGAA